UACAGAGGGUGCGAGCGUUGUCCGGAAUCACUGGGCGUAAAGGGCGCGUAGGUGGCUUGGUAAGCGUGUGGUGAAAGCUCGGGGCUCAACCCCGAGUCUGCCGUGCGAACUGCCGAGCUCGAGCAAAGUAGAGGCAGGUGGAAUUUCGGGUGUAGCGGUGGAAUGCGUAGAGAUCCGAAAGAACACCAGUGGCGAAGGCGGCCUGCUGGGCUUUUGCUGACACUGAGGCGCGACAGCGUGGGGAGCAAACAGG
rnacentral:rRNA from 1 species